rnacentral:rRNA from 2 species
CCAACAGGGAUUGCCCUAGUAACGGCGAGUGAAGCGGCAACAGCUCAAAUUUGAAAUCUGGCCCCCCGGCCCGAGUUGUAAUUUGCAGAGGAUGCUUCGGGCGCGGUGCCUUCCAAGUCCCCUGGAACGGGGCGCCACAGAGGGUGAGAGCCCCGUCAGGUCGGCCACCAAGCCUGUGUGAAGCUCCUUCGACGAGUCGAGUAGUUUGGGAAUGCUGCUCUAAGUGGGAGGUAGACCCCUUCUAAAGCUAAAUACCGGCCAGAGACCGAUAGCGCACAAGUAGAGUGAUCGAAAGAUGAAAAGCACUUUGAAAAGAGGGUUAAAUAGUACGUGAAAUUGUUGAAAGGGAAGCGCUUGUGACCAGACGUGCGCCGGGGUGUUCAGCGGGCGUUCUCGCCCGUGCACUCGCCCCGGCGCAGGCCAGCGUCGGUUCUGGCGGGGGGACAAAGACGACGGGAACGUAGCUCCCCCGGGAGUGUUAUAGCCCGUCGUGCCAUGCCCCCGCCGGGACCGAGGUUCGCGCUCCGCAAGGACGCUGGCGUAAUGGUCCCCAGCGGCCCGUCUUGAAACACGGACCAAGGAGUCGAGGUUUUGCGCGAGUGUUUGGGUGUCAAACCCGCACGCGUAAUGAAAGUGAACGUAGGUGGGAGCUUCGGCGCACCACCGACCGAUCCUGAUGUGCUCGGAUGGAUUUGAGUAGGAGCGCAGGGCCUCGGACCCGAAAGAUGGUGAACUAUACGUGGAUAGGGUGAAGCCAGAGGAAACUCUGGUGGAGGCUCGCAGCGGUUCUGACGUGCAAAUCGAUCGUCAAAUCUGCGUAUGGGGGCGAAAGACUAAUCGAACCAU